AUCCUAGUGCAAGGGUUUUACACAUGUCAGUGAGGAUUCGUCCGAGACUGUGUUUUUGCUAGUUGAAAACUACCUAGUUUGACCGCUCUGGCUGGUCUUCGGAUCGGACAGGAAUUUUUGAAACCUUACUGCCUUUUGAC
rfam:Aspergillus glaucus CBS 516.65 unplaced genomic scaffold ASPGLscaffold_5, whole genome shotgun sequence.